AUCCAGCUGACGAGUCCCAAAUCGGAAGAAACGCACGUCUAAACUGGAU
rfam:Schistosoma curassoni strain Dakar, Senegal genome assembly, scaffold: SCTD_scaffold0003533